rnacentral:rRNA from 1 species
GACGUAGGGGGUGAGCGUUGUCCGGAUUUAUUGGGCGUAAAGAGCGCGUAGGCGGCCCGGAAAGUCGGAUGUGAAAACCCGGGGCUCAACCCCGGGCCUGCAUCCGAUACUCCCGGGCUGGAGGCAGGUAGGGGAGAUCGGAAUUCCUGGUGUAGCGGUGAAAUGCGCAGAUAUCAGGAGGAACACCGGUGGCGAAGGCGGAUCUCUGGGCCUGUCCUGACGCUGAGGCGCGAAAGCUAGGGGAGCGAACAGG